GCUCCGGUAGUAUAGCCCGGCCAAGUAUUCCGGCCUUUCGAGCCGGAGACGCGGGUUCAAAUCCCGCCCGGAGCACCA
rnacentral:tRNA from 1 species